ACUCCUACGGGAGGCAGCAGUCGAGAAUUUUUCACAAUGGGCGAAAGCCUGAUGGAGCGACGCCGCGUGGGGGAUGAAUGGCUUCGGCCCGUAAACCCCUGUCAUUUGCGACUAAACUCUGAAAUUUAAUAGAUUUCAGACUGAAAGUAGCGAAAGAGGAAGGGACGGCUAACUCUGUGCCAGCAGCCGCGGUAAUACAGAGGUCCCAAGCGUUGUUCGGAUUUACUGGGCGUAAAGGGUGCGUAGGUGGUAGGGUAAGUUCAAUGUGAAAGCUUCGGGCUCAACCCGAAAAUUGCAUCGAAUACUAUCCUGCUGGAGGGUCGGAUGGGAGACUGGAAUUCUCGGUGUAGCAGUGAAAUGCGUAGAUAUCGAGAGGAACACCUGUGGCGAAGGCGAGUCUCUGGACGAUUCCUGACACUGAGGCACGAAAGCUAGGGGAGCAAACGGGAUUAGAUACCCCGGUAGUCCUAGCUGUAAACGGUGCGCACUUGCUGUAAGAGGAUUCGAACCCUUUUGUAGCGAAGUUAACACGUUAAGUGCGCCGCCUGGGGAGUACGGUCGCAAGACUAAAACUCAAAGAAAUUGACGGGGGCCUGCACAAGC
rnacentral:rRNA from 1 species